GACGAACGCUGGCGGCGUGCUUAACACAUGCAAGUCGAACGAUGAAGCUGGAGCUUGCUCUAGCGGAUUAGUGGCGAACGGGUGAGUAACACGUGAGCAAUCUGCCCUUGACUCUGGGAUAACUGCGGGAAACUGUAGCUAAUACCGGAUACUUUCACCGGGGGGCAUCCUCUGGUGAUGAAAGAAUUUCGGUCAAGGAUGAGCUCGCGGCCUAUCAGCUUGUUGGUGAGGUAACGGCUCACCAAGGCGACGACGGGUAACCGGCCUGAGAGGGUGACCGGUAACACUGGGACUGAGACACGGCCGAGACUCCUACGGGAGGCAGCAGGGGGGAAUAUUGCACAAUGGGCGCAAGCCUGAUGCAGCGACGCCGCGCGAGGGAUGACGGCCUUCGGGUUGUAAACCUCUUUUAGUAGGGAAGAAGCGAAAGUGACGGUACCGUAAGAAUAAGCACCGGCUAACUACGUGCCAGCAGCCGCCGUAA
rnacentral:rRNA from 1 species